CCUACGGGAGGCAGCAGUGGGGAAUAUUGCGCAAUGGGCGAAAGCCUGACGCAGCGACGCCGCGUGAGGGAUGAAGGUCUUCGGAUCGUAAACCUCUGUCAGCAGGGAAGAACGGUCACUGUGCUAAUCAGCAGUGACUUGACGGUACCUGCAAAGGAAGCACCGGCUAACUCCGUGCCAGCAGCCGCGGUCAUACGGAGGUUGCGAGCGUUAAUCGGAAUUACUGGGCGUAAAGCGCUCGUAGGCGGUAUGUCAAGUCAAGGGUGAAAUCCCCGCGCUCAACGGGGGAACUGCCUUUGAAACUGGCAAACUGGAGUGUGUGAGAGGAUAGUGGAAUUCCAGGUGUAGGAGUGAAAUCCGUAGAUAUCUGGAGGAACAUCAGUGGCGAAGGCGAAUAUCUGGCACAUAACUGACGCUGAGGAGCGAAAGCGUGGGUAGCAAACAGGAUUAGAUACCCGGGUAGUC
rnacentral:rRNA from 1 species